rnacentral:rRNA from 1 species
GACGAACGCUGGCGGCGUGCCUAAUACAUGCAAGUAGAACGCUGAAGCGAGGAGCUUGCUCUUCUUGGAUGAGUUGCGAACGGGUGAGUAACGCGUAGGUAACCUGCCUUGUAGCGGGGGAUAACUAUUGGAAACGAUAGCUAAUACCGCGUAACAAUGGAUGACACAUGUCAUUUAUUUGAAAGGGGCAAUUGCUCCACUACAAGAUGGACCUGCGUUGUAUUAGCUAGUAGGUGAGGUAAUGGCUCACCUAGGCGACGAUACAUAGCCGACCUGAGAGGGUGAUCGGCCACACUGGGACUGAGACACGGCCCAGACUCCUACGGGAGGCAGCGGUAGGGAAUCUUCGGCAAUGGGGGCAACCCUGACCGAGCAACGCCGCGUGAGUGAAGAAGGUUUUCGGAUCGUAAAGCUCUGUUGUAAGUCAAGAACGGGUGUGAGAGUGGAAAGUUCACACUGUGACGGUAGCUUACCAGAAAGGGACGGCUAACUACGUG